CCUACGGGAGGCAGCAGUGAGGAAUAUUGGUCAAUGGACGGAAGUCUGAACCAGCCAUGCCGCGUGCAGGAAGACGGCCCUAUGAGUUGUAAACUGCUUUUGUAAAAGGGUACAUCUGAAUACGUGUAUUCUGCUGAAAGUACUGUACGAAUAAGGAUCGGCUAACUCCGUGCCAGCAGCCGCGGUAAUACGGAGGAUCCAAGCGUUAUACGGAUUUAUUGGGUUUAAAGGGUGCGUAGGCGGAUUGUUAAGUUAGAGGUGAAAUGUCCGGGCUUAACUCGGGAACUGCCUCUAAUACUGGUAAUCUAGAGAGUAGAUGCGGUAGGCGGAAUUCAUGGUGUAGCGGUGAAAUGCUUAGAGAU
rnacentral:rRNA from 1 species